AUCACUUUUCAGUCUUUUGGCUAAGAUUAAGCAUAGUAUCUAUUCUUAUCAGUUUAAUGUGUGAUGCAUCCCUAUCAGAGGACAACACAUGAAAUAGAUUUUUGGAGCAGGGAGAUAGAAUGGGAGCCUGCUUCAUCCACUCCACACAUCAGCCUGGCAUUACAGUACCUCCAGGAACAGUGUACCAAUU
ensembl:snRNA U2 U2 spliceosomal RNA